rnacentral:rRNA from 1 species
AUGUCGCUGGCUUCCCCUGCGUUCCGGUGCUAUUAUGUUGGCAUAGGUUACAUCGUGUGUCUACCCCCGCUAUAUAAGAGAGGCCUAGGAUACAAGUGUCCUACUAGGACACGACUCCAUAUCCUAUCUAAACACAAUACUACUCAGAGUCCAACUGUAACCUACCUUGUACACAAUAUUCGACACAACUCUAACACCUGCAAAUCCAUAUCCUACUUGGAACAUAGAGUGGUAGCGAAGAACGCUGUGCCGAAGGUGUUGAUGACGUGCUUCUUCAGCACGCAUUUUCACGCAGCCUCGAUGAGGAUGUACGGUCCGAUCAGGGAGCUGCUGUCCUAUGAGAACCCACCAUUGUAUAGACGGACCCUCGUCAGAGAAUACAUCAAACAUUACUACUCCACCGGGUUAGAUGCAUAG